rnacentral:rRNA from 1 species
UCAACCCGACCGAUGUACACAUUCUUGAGUGCCUAC